rnacentral:lncRNA from 1 species
AAAAUAGAAAUGAACAACGCUACCGCACCUGCUCCGACAAUGGCACUGUUUUCUUGGGUUGAAGCAGGGGGAGGUUGCGCAAUCACAGACACACCGAGUGGAAUAAGUGAACACCAGGGUUUGACAAUUUGAUGACAUGUGUAAAAAAUGUACACUUGCCCAAAUCAUGAUGAUAGGAUAGAUAGGGAAGUAACAAAUCGCCUGAAUACGGAUAUUGGAUAAUGCUAUAUGGUAGUAAAAAUGGAUAUCUAAGAGGGGAAAAAAAAUGACCCUUUCUUCUUUUUUUUUCUAGGCAUCUUUUUCCCCAUUCAAUUAACUGAGAUUUACUAGCACUGGGAACCCCUGCGGCAGGAGAGAGCACCAGCAUUGGAAGUAAUGGAGCCAACCAUGGAAGAGGACUUGGCUCCCAAGCUUGAAGCUCUAGCAUAGCUGGCUGAGGCACCGGCACCAGAUGGGGUGAAGUAGGCUCCAUUCAACAGCAGGUCUCCUUCUGACCUCCAAUU